UCUUCUCCCCGUUCGUUUCUUCUCCGUUCCGCUACUCACCGAUUUAUAUCUCUCGGCUCCUCCAUUCCUCCCCCUCCUCCUCCUCUCUAAUUCCAGUCAAUUCCCAAUCCUGGAGACUGAGCGGCACAAAAGGAAUGGCACGGUAAGUGGAUUCCAUCUCAGAUCUCCUCUUCUCCUCCUUGCAGCUACCGAGUGAUCUCUGGACGCAGCGGUUUAUCGAUCUCUUCCUGGCCUUGUUGGUCCCUCUUUCAUGGUGGAUUAGAUCGAUUGCUCCUUUCUGUUUGAGGUUACAAAGCGGGAAUCGGUCGAUAAACCUCUGCAUCCGGACUUCAGUGUACAUCCAUCCAUCAGACCUCUCGUUCCCUCACUUCGCUUUGGUUUUUCCCUUAAAUUUCUGAGAUAGAUGAUUGGGGACUAAGGAAGUAGUUCGAGUGAGCUGUUAGCGCUGUUUGAUGUGAUCCAUUUGAUGCAGAUCGUGAUUGAUUUUUGCAGAUAUGAUGAAGUGAAAGCCAAGCCAUGAGACUGAUUGUGGACCACUUCUACAGCAUUUUAUGUUGUACUACUUCAAUACUUGUUCGACUGUUCGAUGCAGUGGAUUGAUUUCUUAGCAGUGAUUACGGGUCCUCCCUGAAACAGUCAUUUGUUCUGUGACAUCAAUGCAGCAGACAUGUUAAAAGGCCCCUCUUUGCGAAUGGCCGAUGGACGCCUCUCCGGAUGGAUGGAAGUACGUUGCAACGCCGAGACUCUCUCACCAUAAACAUGCGUACCUCAUAAGACCAGGAAAAGGCCUCUUCUCAUGGUCAAGAUUCUACGCUCCUAAAAUAAUCAUCAACGUGAUGACAGCGGGCAAGCAUUAUUGAGGUUGUCUCUGAAUCACCCUAUGAACAUAGGCUUCGGAUCAUUUGGCUUCAUCUCAUCCCCUACCUCUCUCAAAAAUGACUUGGAACUGCACCUCCUAAACUGGAAGUCGGGGGUGGCAUCACGGCACCAUCCAAAGUGACCUAGAAACACUCAUCAUAUCUACCUCUCUUUGGACCAACACUCCUAUCUAUCUCUGUCUCUCUUGUUUAAAGAAAUCAUAUCUUUAGUCAAAAUAUCAUAUCUCUCUUAAUUUAUAAUCAUAUAUAUAUAUAUAUAAGCAUAAAAUCUGUAAUAUAUUAUAUUAUAGUUUUUGAGUGAAUCGUAAGAUGAUGGACACGAAUGUGGUGUCACUAUAACUCUUGAGACCGAGAGGUAGCAGACGAUUUGGUAUCAUCCGCAGCACUCCAUGCUCUGUGCUUUGCUAAUGGAGGAACUCAGGUACGACUCUUCCUUGUGAUGCUGAAUGCAGCUCGACUUGGGCCUGGCCCGAUGAAUCUGAGCUCCUCUCUCAUCCAUGAACCAAAGGGCGGGCAUCGGUGCCGGGAGAAGGAGAUCUUCUCGGUCAACCUGGAAAGCAGAGGACUGCAAGUUCCGUGCCCUUGUCAUGGUAUCUCCACCACCCUUUUGGGCACAUCACAUCAACCAUUCUCCACCGUUGGCAUGUCCCUUCCCUUCUCCCCCACGCUAUAAAUGGGGGAAGCCCGCUGCUCCUCACUCUCAGCCAAAGGGCGAGGAGAAAGAGAGAGACAGACGCACGCAGAAAUGGGAGGAGGUCAGUCGUCUUCCAGGUCUUCUUCCUGCUUCUUCUUCUUCAGGUCGCAUCGCAGAGACGAAGAAGCUGAUGGCGAGCCGAAGUACACGUCGAGGAAGGUCCGGCCGAGCGACGAGGACCGAGGCCGCUGGGUUGGCGAGCCGGACGUGGAUGUGAAGGCCUCCGCCUUCAUUGCCAAGUUCCAUGAGACUCGUUUCAUGGACCUCGAAAGGCAAACCAUGGUGGUGUGAUGUGUGAUUCACUUCAGCUUCCUCAUCAUAGUACAAUACCUAUGCUCUCUCUCUCUCUCUCUUUCUUCCUUGUAGUUUGCUUGAUGUUGCAAAGUGUGUAGGCUGUAAUGAUUGAUUAGGAGAAUAAAACCGUAAUUAUAUUAAUUUGUUA